rnacentral:rRNA from 1 species
AUUGAACGCUGGCGGCAGGCCUAACACAUGCAAGUCGAGCGGAUGAAGGGAGCUUGCUCCUGGAUUCAGCGGCGGACGGGUGAGUAAUGCCUAGGAAUCUGCCUGGUAGUGGGUGAUAACGUCCGGGAACGGGCGCUAAUACCGCAUACGUCCUGAGGGAGAAAGUGGGGGAUCUUCGGACCUCACGCUAUCAGAUGAGGCUAGGUCGGAUUAGCUAGUUGGUGGGGUAAAGGCCUACCAAGGCGGCGAUCGGUAACUGGUCUGAGAGGAUGGUCAGUCACCUUGGAACUUAUACACCGUCCAUGGGCCUACGGGAGGCAGCAGUGGGGAACAUGAGGCAGCGGUGGGAAGUCUUAUCCAGUCAUGCCGCGUCUGUUGCGAUGGCGUCCCGAUUGUGAAGCCCGCUAUGUUGUUGUGAAGGGCAGUAAGUUAAUACCAUGCUGUUUUGACGUUACCAGCAGAAUAAGCACCGGCUAACUUCGUG